rfam:Triticum aestivum genome assembly, contig: Triticum_aestivum_CS42_TGACv1_scaffold_061549_1DL
AUGUUACUCCCUCCGUCCAAAAAUACUUGUCAUCAAAAUGGAUAGAAGGAGAUGUAGCUAGAAUUAAAAUACGUCUAGAUACAUCAUCUUUUAUCCAUUUUGAUGACAAGUAUUUCCAGACGGAGGGAGUACAAU